GACGAACGCUGGCGGCAUGCCUAAUACAUGCAAGUCGGGCGAAUGAUGAAGAAGCUUGCUUCUUCUGAUUUAGCGGCGGACGGGUGAGUAACACGUGGGCAACCUGCCCUGUAGAUUGGGAUAACUCCGGGAAACCGGGGCUAAUACCGAAUAAUCCAUUUCCUCUCAUGGGGAGAUGUUAAAAGACGGCAUCUCGCUGUCACUACAGGAUGGACCCGCGGCGCAUUAGCUAGUUGGUGGGGUAACGGCCUACCAAGGCGACGAUCAGUAGCCGGACUGAGAGGUUGAACGGCCACAUUGGGACUGAGAUACGGCCCAG
rnacentral:rRNA from 1 species